rnacentral:rRNA from 1 species
AUGGCUUCUCGAGCCCUCGCCGCUCUGUCCAUCCAGCCGCGCCUCGGCGGGAGCGCCUCGGCCCUCGGACGGCCUGCCGUCCGUGUCAGCGCCAGGCCGCCGCGGCGGCGCCGGUCCAUGGUGGUGCGGGCCGGCGGGCCGCCGAGCACCAACGUGCUCAUCCUCGCCUUCGUGCUCCCGCUCUCGCUCUUCGUCGGCACCCUCGUCGCCGCCGCCCGCGUCGCCGACGACCUCGACGAGCGCUUCCUCCGGGAGAUGGAGAUCAACAAGGCGAUACUGGAGGAGAACGAGGCUUCCUCCGAGGAGGCGGCAGACGGCGGCGCAGAGUACGUCGUCGACGGAGACGAGGCCCCGUUGCCGGCGGCGGAGAAGGAGCAGGUCCUUGUCACAGCCACUGGCACUGGCACGCGCGCCAGGAACAGGCCGAAAAGGGAAGUGUAUUAG